GACGAACGCUGGCGGCGUGCCUAAUACAUGCAAGUCGAGCGAGACUCUUCGGAGUCUAGCGGCGGACGGGUGAGUAACACGUGGGCAACCUGCCUGUAAGACUGGGAUAACACCGGGAAACCGGUGCUAAUACCGGAUAAUCCUUUUCCUCUCAUGAGGAAAAGCUGAAAGUCGGUUUCGGCUGACACUUACAGAUGGGCCCGCGGCGCAUUAGCUAGUUGGUGAGGUAAUGGCUCACCAAGGCGACGAUGCGUAGCCGACCUGACGAGGGUGAUCGGCCACACUGGGACUGAGACACGGCCCAGACCCCUACGGGAGGCAGCAGUAGGGAAUCUUCCACAAUGGACGAAAGUCUGAUGGAGCAACGCCGCGUGAGCGAUGAAGGCCUUCGGGUCGUAAAGCUCUGUUGUUAGGGAAGAACAAGUACCGGAGUAACUGCCGGUACCUUGACGGUACCUAACCAGAAAGCCACGGCUAACUACGUGCCAGCAGCCGCCGUAACAC
rnacentral:rRNA from 1 species